UUUAUAAUAGAUAUUCAAACUAGUUUUUUUUUUUUUUAUAUAAAAUAAUCUUAAUAUUAAAAGUGCAUUGGUAACUGUCCUUUUCAUAAUUUGACUCUCAAAAAUACUUUUUAAAAAAUAUUAAAAGUGCUUAAAAAAAUAAACAUUUUCUAGCUGCUUGGCCAAAUAGGUCAAACACCCUGCAAGUUCAAUGUACUAAUGACAUUAAAAAACAUAAUUCAAAUUAAGUUAGUCAUUAAAUAAAUUCUUGAUAAAUUAUAAUUGGUAAUCUAAUUACUCAUUUUCUUAAUUCAUGAAGAAUAAAAAUCUAUCAACUCUUUUUAAAUUUAUCCAAACACUUCAAAACUGCUUAAAAAUUAUUUUCACUUGAAAACACUUAAAACAAGUCAAUCCUAAAGACUCUUAAUCAAACACCGUCCAAGUUCAAUGUACUAAUGACAAAAAAAUAUAUUCACAUAAAGUUAAGCAUUAAAUAAAUUUCUUAGUAAACCAUAAUUGGUAAUCUAAUUACUCAUUUUCUUAAUUCAUGAAGCAAAAAAAUAAUCUAUAAACACUUUUUUAAUUUACCUAAACACUUCAAAAGUGCUUACAAAUUUUUUAGUUAAAAACACUUAAAACAAGUCAAUUCAAACACACUCAUAAUCAAACACCUUCCAAGUUCAAUGUACUAAUGUGACAUAAAAAAUACAUAUUCAAAUAAAGCUAAUCAUUAAAUAAAUUUCUUGGUAAUCUGAUUACUCAUUUUCUUAACUCAAAAAAAUAAAAUCUAUACAACUUAUUUAUAAAUUAAAUAAAACUAUUAUACCUCAUAGUCAAACACUUUUUCAAGAAAACAUUUAAAUUCAAAUCUCAUUGUAUUUGACCAAAUUCGAUUUUGUUACCAAAUUUUGCAAAAACAUAAAUAUUUUUCCAUAGGUAGUUUCAAAGAAAUAGUAUAAAUAUAUGAUAAUAAUAAUGAUAUAAUAAGAUAUUGAAAUAAUAUUUACAAAAACCGAAUUUUGACCAUGAUAACAGUGAACCAUUCAUCUAGUAGCGAUGAAGAAGAUCAUGAUGAAGAAGAAGAAGAAGAAGAAGAAGAAGAAGAAGAAGAAGAAGAAGAAGAAGAAGAAGAAGAAGAAGAAGAAGAAGAAGAAGAAGAAGAAGAAGAAGAAGAAGAAGAAGAAGAAGAAGAAGAAGAAGAAGAAGAAGAAGAAGAAGAAGAAGAAGAAGAAGAAGAAGAAGAAGAAGAAGAAGAAGAAGAAGAAGAAGAAGAAGAAGAAGAAGAAGAAGAAGAAGAAGAAGAAGAAGAAGAAGAAGAAGAAGAAGAAGAAGAAGAAGAAGAAGAAGAAGAAGAAGAAGAAGAAGAAGAAGAAGAAGAAGAAGAAGAAGAAGAAGAAGAAGAAGAAGAAGAAGAAGAAGAAGAAGAAGAAGAAGAAGAAGAAGAAGAAGAAGAAGAAGAAGAAGAAGAAGAAGAAGAAGAAGAAGAAGAAGAAGAAGAAGAAGAAGAAGAAGAAGAAGAAGAAGAAGAAGAAGAAGAAGAAGAAGAAGAAGAAGAAGAAGAAGAAGAAGAAGAAGAAGAAGAAGAAGAAGAAGAAGAAGAAGAAGAAGAAGAAGAAGAAGAAGAAGAUCAUGAUGAAGAAGAAGAAGAAGAAGAUGAUAAUGAUGAAGAAGAAGAAGAUGAUAAUGAUGCAGGACCCAGUAACCCCACAAGCAGACCUGUACCCAAGAGACGGAGGACUACCGCCGGAACUUUCUCUUGUAGCGUCGUUAUCCGUCAACAAGAAGAAGAAGAAGAAAGAGAAAGGGAAAGGGAAAGGGAAAGGGAAAGGAUUGUUGAGGAAGAAGUAGAGGAGGAGGCAGAGGAGGAGGAGGAUUGGGGAUUGGAAUCGGAAUCUGAGGGAAAUUUCCGAUUGAGCGGUGAUCGGAGGGUGCCAGUUCAUGAAUCCGAGGUUUCAAGAGAGAACAGGUCUAUUUCUGGAGAGGACCCAGAUCAGAAUUUGGAGGGUUCAAGAGUAAACGGGUCAAUUUCUGUGACGUUAUUGGAUCCGGAUGUGUUGGAUUGCCCAAUCUGCUUUGAACAUCUCUGUGUUCCUGUCUUUCAGGUUUCUUCUUUUUACCCUUUUCAUUGCUAUUAGGAGUAUAAGAAUUUACCUGUGUAUAUAUGUUGGAAUUAAUUGUGUUCGGAGAAUUCUUGAUUUGCCUUAAGGUUUUUGAAUGACAUGGUCUUGAAUAGAAAGGAAUUUGUAUUGACAUUUAUAAUCUGACCCAUAUA
rnacentral:lncRNA from 1 species